GACGAACGCUGGCGGCGUGCCUAAUACAUGCAAGUCGAACGAGUGGCGGACGGGUGAGUAACACGUGGGUAACUACCCAUCAGAGGGGGAUAACACUUGGAAACGAUAGCUAAUACCGCAUACUAGUAGAUGGACCUGCCGUGUAUUAGCUAGUAGGUAGGGUAAUGGCCUACCUAGGCGACGAUGCAUAGCCGAACUGGGAGGGUGAGCGGCCACACGGGGACGGAGACACGGCCCAGAAUCCUCCGGGAGGCAGCAGUAGGGAAGCUUCGGCAAUGGGGGGAACCCUGACCGAGCAACGCCGCGUGAGUGAAGAAGGUUUUCGGAUCGUAAAGCUCUGUUGUUAAGGAAGCGGUACUUAACCAGAAAGGGACGGCUAACUACGUGCCAGCAGCCGCGGUAAUAC
rnacentral:rRNA from 1 species